UACGUAGGGGGCAAGCGUUGUCCGGAUUUAUUGGGCGUAAAGAGCGUGUAGGCGGCUUUACAGGUCCGUUGUGAAAACUCGAGGCUCAACCUCGAGACGCCGGUGGAAACCGUAAAGCUAGAGUCCGGAAGAGGAGAGUGGAAUUCCUGGUGUAGCGGUGAAAUGCGCAGAUAUCAGGAGGAACACCCGUGGCGAAAGCGGCUCUCUGGGACGGUACUGACGCUGAGGCGCGAAAGCUAGGGGAGCAAACGGG
rnacentral:rRNA from 1 species